rnacentral:rRNA from 1 species
UAGUGCGGGGUUGUCUAUCUUCUACCAAACUUUUGGAAACUUCGAAUUCGGGAUUAUUAAAUUUAAACAAACAGACUAGAGGUGCUAAGAUCUUUAGUCGAGAGGGAAACAGCCCAGAUUGACCGUUAAGGACCUUAAAAAUACAGAAGUUAAAGGAAGUUAAAAACUUUUAACAGCCAGGAGGUAGGCUUAGAAGCAGCCACCCUAUGAUGAAAGCGUAGCAGCUCACUGGUCUAGGUUUUUUGCACCGAAAAUUUAAAUGGGAUUAAAAGUAUUUUCCGAAGCGGCAAAAUCCAAUUUUUGGAUUGGUAGCAGAAUGUUCUGUAAAUUUUUAAAGCUAAGCUGUCAGGUUUAGUGGAGAUAUCAGAAGUAAGAAUGCUGACAUAAGUAACGAUAAAGAGUGUUUAAAACACUCUCGCUGUAAACCCAAGGUUUUCGAUGUCAAGUUAAGCUGCGUCGAAGAGAAAUUCAAAAAUAAAAACGGCCCCUAAGAAUAUAGUGAAAACUCAUUUUGAUGGGAAACAAUAUACUGUUUUGAAAGUUGUGACAAAAGGCUUGAAUUUUGUGUUAAAAAGAUCAUUUUGAUGCAAAUUAAUCUUUUCAAGAAAUAGCACUUUCUUUAUUACCGUACCGUAAACUGACACAAGUGGGUGGGUUGAGAAAACUAAAGCGCUUGAGAGAACUGUGUAAAAGGAACUCGGCAAAAUGGCUCCGUAACUUAGGAAGAAGGAGUGACUUUUAAUUCAAUAUUUGCAAUAUGCAAUAAAUGUUCUAAAAGUUGUCACAAAAUUGGAAGAAGCAACUGUUUAACAAAAACACAGGUCUCUGCUAAUUCGCAAGAAGAUGUAUAGGGGCUGACGCGUGCCCGGUGCUGCAAGGUUAAGGGGAGGCGUCUUGGCGCUGAACUCAAGCCCCAGUAAACGGCGGCCGUAACUCUGACGGUCCAAAGGUAGCGAAAUUCUUUGCCACCUAAUUAGUGGCCUGCAUGAAUCGCGUAAUGACUUCUUUACUGUCUCUUACACAGACUCAGUGAAAUUGAAAUAUCCGUGAAGAUGCGGAUUACUCACAGCUAGACGGAAAGACCCUGUACACCUUUACUGCAUUUAUUGAUUGCAAAAAUGUAUUUGUUGUGUAGAAUAGGUGGGAGCACGAUACCUUUUUGGUACUGUGCGCCAGUGAAAUACCACCCUGCAUUUAUGUUGAUGCUAACUUAUUUCUAUAAGAACAGUUUAUAAUUGGUAGUUUGACUGGGGCGGUCGCCUUCUAAAAGGUAACGAAGGCGUGCAUAAGGUAAACUCAAAUAAAUAAAUCUUUUAUUGAAGAGUGCAAUAGCAAAAGUUUGCUUGACUGUAAGAAUAACGAUUCGAACAGGGGCGUAAGCCGGCUAUAGUGAUCCGGUGAUACUGAAUGGAAAGGUCAUCGCUCAACGGAUAAAAGGUACGUCAGGGAUAACAGGCUAAUGACUCCUUAGAGUUCCUAUCGACGGAGUUGUUUGGCACCUCGAUGUCGGCUAGUCACAUCCUGGAGCUGAAGCAGGUUCCAAGGGUUAGGUUGUUCGCCUAUUAAAGUGGCACUUGAGCUGGGUUCAGAACGCCGUGAGGCAGUUUGGUCCCUAUCUACUGUGAGCGUUAGAAAAUUGAAGAAAUUAAACCCUAGUACGAGAGGACCGGGAAACGUAAACCUCUGGUGUAGCGAUUGUUUUUAAAAAAGCAUCGUCGCGUAGCUACGUUUAUACUAGAUAAUCGCUGAAAGCAUCUAAGUGAGAAACUAUUUCUAAGAUUAAUUUUCUUUUUAGGGCUGUGGCAUAACACCACGUUGAUAGGUGCGGAGUUUAACGAUUGUAAGAUUUUAGCUACUGCAUACUAAAAGCCUGAAAUAAUCUUU